AAGUUGUUGCGGUUAAAAAGCUCGUAGUUGGAUUUUGGGCGCAGGCGGCCGGUCCGUCGCAAGGCGUGUACUGGCCGUCCUGGCCUCACCUCCGGUUCUCCGCCGGUGCCCUUGACUGAGUGUCGGCGGCGGCCGGAACGUUUACUUUGAAAAAAUUAGAGUGUUCAAAGCAGGCGAUUCGCCUGAAUAAUGGUGCAUGGAAUAAUGGAAUAGGACCUCGGUUCUAUUUUGUUGGUUUUCGGAGCGCGAGGUAAUGAUUAAGAGGGACAGACGGGGGCAUUCGUACUGUGCCGUUAGAGGUGAAAUUCUUGGAUCGGCGCAAGACGAACGACUGCGAAAGCAUUUGCCAAGAAUGUUUUCUUUAAUCAAGAGCGAAAGUCAGAGGUUCGAAGACGAUCAGAUACCGUCCUAGUUCUGACUAUAAACGAUGCCAACUAGCGAUCGGGGGGCGUUAGUUUUACGACCUCUCCGGCAGCUUGCGGGAAACCAAAGUCUUUGGGUUCCGGGGGAAGUAUGGUUGCAAAGCUGAAACUUAAAGGAAUUGACGGAAGGGCACCACCAGGAGUGGAGCCUGCGGCUUAAUUUGACUCAACACGGGAAAUCUCACCCGGCCCGGACACAGUGAGGAUUGACAGAUUGAGAGCUCUUUCUUGAUUCUGUGGGUGGUGGUGCAUGGCCGUUCUUAGUUGGUGGAGCGAUUUGUCUGGUUAAUUCCGAUAACGAACGAGACUCUGGCUUGCUAACUAGUUACGCGACCCAAUCGGUCGGCGUCUAACUUCUUAGAGGGACUAGUGGCGUUUAGCCACACGAGAUUGAGCAAUAACAGGUCUGUGAUGCCCUUAGAUGUUCGGGGCCGCACGCGCGCUACACUGACCGGAUCAGCAUGUGCUCGCCUUGGCCGACAGGUCUGGGUAACCCGCUGAACCCCGGUCGUGCUAGGGAUAGGGAAUUGCAAU
rnacentral:rRNA from 1 species